GUGUGGUGUGAGGCUGGGACAAGAACAGGCAAGCCCUUGCACAGUUCUGAGGCUGUGUGGGGUGAGCCUGCUCGGAAACAGAAAACCUGGGGCAAAGCUGAAAGAAUGUGCAACCCCCUCCGAGACGCACCACUGCUCUCCUGAUGCUGCCCCACCUCCCUGAAACCUCAAGCCAUCAACAGGCCCCAGUCUCCUCUUUCUUCGUAAUUCUAAAGGAAUAAAAACUUACAAGUGACUGUGAGGUGGGAGCUGACCCCAGAAAAC